CGAGUCAGCGGCUCCCGGGCCGCGCCUAGCUGCGUGCCAUGGCCGGGUUGCUGGUGUUGCUGGUCCCGGCAGGCAGGAUGGGCGCCCGGGUCCGGCCUCGCGCCACCUGGCUCCUGGGCGCCACCGCCCCCUGCUCCCCGCCGCCCCUGGCCCUGGCCCUGCUCCCGCCCAGGCCAGACGCCCGGCUGCUCCACACGGCGCGCGGGGGCUGCCGCGGCCGCCAGGAUCCCAGCCAGGCCACAGAGACAACAGGCAGCAGCGUCAGUUGCACAGAGGAGAAAAAGCAAAGCAAGUCACAGCAACUGAAAAAGAUUUUUCAAGAGUAUGGCACUGUCGGCGUGUCGCUGCACAUUGGAAUCUCAUUAAUCUCCUUGGGCAUAUUUUACAUGGUUGUGUCAAGUGGUGUGGACAUGUCUGCAGUCCUGCUGAAACUCGGAUUUAAAGAGUCCCUGGUACAGUCAAAAAUGGCAGCAGGCACAAGUACCUUUGUGGUGGCCUAUGCAAUCCACAAGCUGUUUGCGCCAGUGAGAAUCAGCAUGACGCUAGUCUCUGUGCCCUUGAUUGUCAGAUAUUUUCGAAAAGUGGGAUUCUUUAAACCUCCAGCUGCAAAACCUUAAUGAACUCUUCAGUCGUACACACUGAAAACCUAUUUCUUCUAAAUUACACAAUUUGGACUGGUUUUAGGGUUAUAGGGUUUCUUUUGGAGAGGUAGGGGGCUAAUUGCUAUGUUCUCAUGGAUAAACUUUGCCAGCAAAAAUCAGGCUUUUGAACAAUUUUAAUUUUUUGCCUCAUAAAUUUUGUGAAUGCUAUUCAUUAUAGGGCUUGUAUAUAUAAUCUAAAAUGUCAGCAAGACAUCACAGAUGGGUUAACAUCUCAAAACAAAAUAGCCUACAAAUGUUCCUUGUGGGAGAUUUUGGCGAGGGUCUGUCUGUAAAAGCUCCAGGGGGUUAAUCUUGGCUCAGUUUCCUAAAAAGCAAUGAUUAAUUUAACUGGCUUUUAAAUAUCCCCUUCCGCUGAUAUUUGUUUUCAGCUGCCUACAGUUUAAUAUGCAGUGUUCUGCAAAACAGCUGCCAGUGCUACGAUUAAUGAAGCAAAACUUAAUAUGUAAUCACAAUCUAAAUUAGCAUCAAUACUUUGACAUUCAUUCUAUUUGUUUUUGGGGGAAGAAGAGUAUUUCUGGUGUGUUUCAUUGAUCCCCAAACACCUUCCAAUCUGGACAUGAUGGGGUUGAUUCCAGAUGGUUUUUCUGAAAUUUCAUUAAAGUAGGUUGGCAUCAUUUGUAUCUAUUUAGGUAAAAUAUGAAAACUCUGCCCAGUAGCAGGGGCAUCACUUGGUUCCUGAUGCCCAUGUUCCAGAGGAAUUUGGAUACCACACAGAAACAGCUAAGACAAUCUUAGCUUUUCUUAGACAAUCUUUAUCUCAAACUUCAGUCAUUCCAGAAUUGUCAUGAUGUUUACACUGUCUUAUUGAGUUAAAAAUCCUGUUCAAGAAAAAAAAAAACAUUUUGUAUCACUUCCUAAAAAGGAAUAUUCGUGGCACUUGUCACAAAUGGAAGGCAACUAUGAGACUAUGCAAGCCAGGGAGGGGCUUGUAUUACACGGCAGGUGUACUUAGUCUACUGAGCCAGCUUUACCCAAUGAAGGGCAUGUAUGUUAGAGAGAUUAGCUAAGAGUAGAAAUUCAAGCA